rnacentral:rRNA from 1 species
CAGCAGCCGCGGUAAUACGAAGGUGGCAAGCGUUAUUCGGAUUUACUGGGCGUACAGGGAGCGUAGGCGGUUCGGUAAGCCCUCUGUGAAAUCUUCAGGCUUAACCUGGAAAAGUCGGAGGGGACUGCUGGGCUAGAGGACGGGAGAGGAGCGCGGAAUUCCCGGUGUAGCGGUGAAAUGCGUAGAGAUCGGGAGGAAGGCCGGUGGCGAAGGCGGCGCUCUGGAACGUUUCUGACGCUGAGGCUCGAAAGCGUGGGGAGCAAACAGGAUUAGAUACCCUGGUAGUCCACGCCUUAAACUAUGAAUACUAAGUGUCGGCGGGUUACCGCCGGUGCCGCAGCUAACGCAUUAAGUAUUCCGCCUGGGAAGUACGGCCGCAGGGUUGAAACUUAAAGGAAUUGACGG